CCCUACGGGGCGCAGCAGGCGCGAAAACUUUACACUGCGCGAAAGCGCGAUAAGGGGACCUCGAGUGCGUGCGCAUUGCGUACGCUUUUCAUGUGCCUAAAAAGCACGUGGAAUAAGGGCCGGGCAAGACCGGUGCCAGCCGCCGCGGUAACACCGGCGGCUCGAGUGGUGGCCGCUUUUAUUGGGCUUAAAGGGUCCGUAGCCGGGCCAGUUAGUCCUCUGGGAAAUCUUACGGCUUAACCGUAAGGCUGCCAAAGGAAACUGCUGGCCUUGGGACCGGGAGAGGCAAGAGGUACCUCAGGGGUAGGAGUGAAAUCCUGUAAUCC
rnacentral:rRNA from 1 species